AUACCAUACAUUGGUCAUUAUCUAUGGAUGGCAGAUGACUUUCACUUGUUCUUACUCAUGUAUAUUUUCUAAAUAAUCAAAAAUUAACUCAUUACUUUUGUAAUAACUUAAUGGCCGAUUAGAAAUAUGAAAGAGGACUCUUUUUCUAAAAAUUAAAUAUAAUUCAUGAAUAUAAAUUGAGAAUAUGUAAAUUUGGAAGGAUUUUAAAAGACACAAUAGGAUUGUGAUUAUAACUAAGUUUUUAUUGUACUAGCUAUAUGGUAUUCUUCAGAUUAAAGAAUGAUUUUGGUAUACAUGGCACCUGUAAAAGAUCCAAGGUAACAAAACACUUAACAGCUUAAUAAUUCUACCUUUCAUAAUCACGAGAUUAAUGUUCCCUUUUCAGACACUGAGCUCACCAAAGUACUUUUUGACCAGAAUUUGGCUUCCCAUGUGGAUUUGCUAAUCAGGAAAAAAAUAUGCUAAUAAACUAAAAAAUUGUAUUAAGUCUGCUUAUGACUCAUAUUUAUGUUGUAUAUUAAUAAACUUAUAUUACUCAACAUGAUUUUUUUUUCUAUAACCCAUUAAUCUUUGCAUUUCUAAUCUACAAAGUGAACAUCCAGACUCUGGAUUGUGAGGACAGAAGCAAGGUAAAGACAGACUUCCCCAAGCACUAUCUUCUCAUUCUUCCCAACCAAAUGCCAUUAACCCAUAUGAUUAUUAGGAAGGAUUUUUAAAAUUCAUGGCAGUGAUUUCAUUAUACUCAAUUCCCUUUCCUUUAAGCUUAUUUGCACAUAAUGAGUUAUUUGGCUCCUUGGUCUUGCUUUUUCAUUUCUUUUUUUUUUUUUUUAAAGAGAAAGGAUGUGACCAAAUAGCCUGCACAGAUUCAAAUUUUUCUUUAGGCCCAUGGUGAGAAUUACCUAAAAUAAAAUGACAUUUCUAGCCCACAAUUUGAAGAACUGUGCUUAUAAAUCAAACAAGAUCAUAUACAAUGAUACAUUAGUAGAUAGCUUAUGUUCAAACAUCCUAGCUGCAAAAGAAGCAUUUUAAAAAGUGUUAACAUAUACAGAUACACCUAUCAUGAAUAAGGAAAUUUUUAUACAACAGUGAACACUGCUUCUGUGAUAUAAACAUGAAAUAGGGUAAAAUUAUGCAAAGCAUUUGUUACCUACCAGAUAUUUUGCUUACUUUCAUAAAUAUCUACCAAAUGAAAAGAUCUUAGGAGAUAGAUGAUUUGAGAAGAAUGGAAGAGGCAAUUUAAAAAGGAAUUUGAAAAAAUUAUUCUGGAAGAAAUUUGGUUAACUAUUAUCAUAUUUAUUCCUAAAAGCCCCAAAAAAGAACUGGAUUUCUAUUUAUACAAAGGUAAAAUAAAUACACAGGAAAAAAACCUUCAGCCUCAUUUAGUUAACUAUUGAUGGUAGCAGCAUGAGGUUUAAGCAGGGAAAAAAACAUAUAUCAUUAUGCUAACAGUGACAUUAUCUAAGCAGCAGGGUUUAAAGGCAGAUUUGUUUAUAACAUCAAUUUUCUGCUUUCUCCUCACACUGAAAAUAACAAAUAUUGAGAUAUCCAUUAUCCAGACAUAUGUGGAUGAAAAACAAAGGCAUCUGACUUUUUUUUUUUCAUCUUUGGUUCUUUUUUCCAAAAUGAUCAGUAAUAUAUGGCUUUUUAGUCACAUAAAUUAAAAUCCCAUUCAAGUACCCUGCAGAUCACUUUAACCUUUCAAUGACAAUCUGAAAGAUACAGAUUCUUAUUUGUUUUAAGCGAAACAAGAA
rnacentral:lncRNA from 10 species